UACGGAGGGUGCAAGCGUUGUCCGGAUUUAUUGGGUUUAAAGGGUGCGUAGGCGGCCCGUUAAGUCAGUGGUGAAAGCCUCCAGCUCAACUGGGAGAACUGCCAUUGAUACUGACGGGCUUGAGUACAGACGAGGUUGGCGGAAUUGAUUGUGUAGCGGUGAAAUGCAUAGAUACAAUCAAGAACUCCGAUUGCGUAGGCAGCUAACUAGGCUGUAACUGACGCUGAGGCACGAAAGCGUGGGGAGCGAACAGG
rnacentral:rRNA from 1 species